UUUUAAAAACACUGGGCCGGGGGCGGUGGCUGACGCCCGUAAGCCCAGCACUUUGGGAGGCUGAGGAGGGCGGAUCACAAGAUCAGGAGAUCGAGACCG